rnacentral:misc_RNA from 1 species
AAAAAGAAAAAAAAAGAGAGAAAUAGAAGUGCUUGAUGUACUGUUUUUAAUUGGAAAGUUCUAAUAAACCAAAUCAAUGGCGUUGCAACAUUUUGAAUUCCUUCAUUAUUGAACUUAUCUCCAAAUCAUAGAACUUUUUGGUGAUAAUCGAAUAUUUGAUGUUGGAUGAAAUGAAUAGUGUGAUAUUCAAUGGUAAAUCUAAAAAAGCUCCCUAAAAGUAGUGCCAGCCACAAUCUAAAUUGUGCCGGAAAUCCAAUCAAAACUGGUCCUAUUAUAUUUGGAACCAGAAUCGGUUUAAGGGCCUGAAUCCAAUUGGAACCUGGACCCUGAGGGUCGGCUUGG